rnacentral:rRNA from 1 species
CAGUCGCCACGGUAAUACGAAGGGGGCUAGCGUUGUUCGGAAUUACUGAGCGUAAAGCGUGCGUAGGCGGUUCGUUAAGUCUGUUGUGAAAGCCCCGGGCUCAACCUGGGAAUGGCAAUGGAUACUGGCGAGCUAGAGUGUGUCAGAGGAUGGUGGAAUUCCCGGUGUAGCGGUGAAAUGCGUAGAGAUCGGGAGGAACAUCAGUGGCGAAGGCGGCCAUCUGGGACAACACUGACGCUGAGGCACGAAAGCGUGGGGAGCAAACAGGAUUAGAUACCCCCGUAGUCCCUGUCUCUUAUAC